rnacentral:rRNA from 1 species
UACGUAGGGUGCGAGCGUUGUCCGGAAUUACUGGGCGUAAAGAGCUCGUAGGUGGUUUGUCGCGUUGUUCGUGAAAACUCACAGCUCAACUGUGGGCGUGCGGGCGAUACGGGCAGACUGGAGUACUGCAGGGGAGACUGGAAUUCCUGGUGUAGCGGUGGAAUGCGCAGAUAUCAGGAGGAACACCGGUGGCGAAGGCGGGUCACUGGUCCGGUACUGACGCUGAGGUGCGAAAGCGUGGGGAGCAAACAGG